AAGGAAGCUUGCUUCUUUCGAAUCUAGUGGCAAACGGGUGAGUAACACGUAAACAACCUGCCUUCAGGAUGGGGACAACAGACGGAAACGACUGCUAAUACCGAAUACGUUCCUUAGGUCGCAUGACUUAGGGAAGAAAGGGUGGCCUCUACUUGUAAGCUAUCGCCUGAAGAGGGGUUUGCGUCUGAUUAGGUAGUUGGUGAGGUAACGGCCCACCAAGCCGACGAUCAGUAGCCGGUCUGAGAGGAUGAACGGCCACACUGGAACUGAGACACGGUCCAGACUCC
rnacentral:rRNA from 1 species